rnacentral:rRNA from 1 species
CCUACGGGGGGCUGCAGUGAGGAAUAUUGGUCAAUGGGCGCGAGCCUGAACCAGCCAAGUCGCGUGAAGGAUGACUGCCCUAUGGGUUGUAAACUUCUUUUAUAUGGGAAUAAAAUGUUCCACGUGUGGGAUUUUGUAUGUAUCAUAUGAAUAAGGAUCGGCUAAAUCCGUGCCAGCAGCCGCGGUAAUACGGAGGAUCCGAGCGUUAUCCGGAUUUAUUGGGUUUAAAGGGAGCGUAGGUGGAUUGUUAAGUCAGUUGUGAAAGUUUGCGGCUCAACCGUAAAAUUGCAGUUGAAACUGGCAGUCUUGAGUACAGUAGAGGUGGGCGGAAUUCGUGGUGUAGCGGUGAAAUGCUUAGAUAUCACGAAGAACUCCGAUUGCGAAGGCAGCUCACUGGACUGCAACUGACACUGAGGCUCGAAAGUGUGGGUAUCAAACAGGAUUAGAUACCCUAGUAGUC